CCUACGGGGGGCAGCAGUGAGGAAUAUUGGUCAAUGGGCGCGAGCCUGAACCAGCCAAGUAGCGUGAAGGAUGACUGCCCUACGGGUUGUAAACUUCUUUUAUAAAGGAAUAAAGUGAGGCACGUGUGCCUUUUUGUAUGUACUUUAUGAAUAAGGAUCGGCUAACUCCGUACCAGCAGCCGCGGUAAUACGGAGGAUCCGAGCGUUAUCCGGAUUUAUUGGGUUUAAAGGGAGCGUAGAUGGGUUGUUAAGUCAGUUGUGAAAGUUUGCGGCUCAACCGUAAAAUUGCAAUUGAUACUGGCGGUCUUGAGUGCGGUUGAGGUAGGCGGAAUUCGUGGUGUAGCGGUGAAAUGCUUAGAUAUCACGCAGAACUCCGAUUGCGAAGGCAGCUUACUAAACUGUCACUGACAUUGAUGCUCGAAAGUGUGGGUAUCAAACAGGAUUAGAUACCCGAGUAGUC
rnacentral:rRNA from 1 species